AACGAACGCUGGCGGCAUGCCUAACACAUGCAAGUCGAACGAGACCUUCGGGUCUUGUGGCUCACGGGUGCGUACGGCGUGGGGACCUGCCCUUAGGUUCGGAAUAACUCCCCGAAAGGGGUGCUAAUACCGGCUAAUUUCUUCCGACCAAAGAUUUAUCGCCUUUGGAUGGGCCCGCGUUGGAUUAGCUCGUUGGUAGGGUAAAAGCCUCCCAAGGCGACGAUCCAUAGCUGGUCUGAGAGGAUGAUCAGCCACACUGGGACUGAGACACGGCCCAGACUCCUACGGGAGGCAGCAGUGGGGAAUAUUGGACAAUGGGGGAAAGCCUGAUCCAGCAAUGCCGCGUGAGUGAUGAAGGCCGUAGGGUCGUAAAGCUCUUUUACCCGGGAUGAUAAUGACAGUACCGGGAGAAUAAGCUCCGGCUAACUCCGUG
rnacentral:rRNA from 1 species